CCAGAUCAACUUGUCUUACUGCUGAUUGGCUGUGUGUCUCCCAGAGCGCGAUGUGAUUGGACGGCGCGCCUGUCGUGUAACCUCUUUCACCAUUUGGUUUCGUGGCGCAGAGGAUUGAGGCUCAUUCCCUCGCUCUCACUCGGGGCAGCACGAGUCCGGAGGAUGGAGGCGACUGAAGCGAUGGUUGGAGAAGGGAGGAGAGCCUAUGGUUCAAUAGGUCAUAUCUGAGGUACGAUAUGGCGGUAUGCCUCUGAAAAAGGUUGGAUUGCUGUUGAUUGCUGCUCUCUGACAGAGUGCAAAGUUGUUCUGUGAGAGAAAACAAACUCUAGUUGGCUUCUAUGCUGUAAACUCUCACGUAAAACCUUUUUGUAAAGUAGUUUUGGUUUAUAGUGCCUUUCUUUGUGCUGUUUAUAUGACAUAUAGCAAUCAAAAAAUAUGGCCCCUUUAAAUGCAGUUUUUAUAGAAGUGAGCACUUUGAAAUUUGACCUUCAGAUGUAGUUUUGUGAUGCCUCGUACGUUUUCUCUUGUGUUUUGUAGCAAGUGCACUGAGAUACAGGAAUUAAUUCAAAGGCCCUUUGAGUUUUCCACCAUAAAUUGAAGUUAUUGCCUCAGGGCAGUGGUCAAAAUUACUCCCUCUGCAAAUUAUUUAUAUUUUGAAAUAAGACAAGGUUGCAGACUAGUGCCU
ensembl:lncRNA